UACGGAGGGGGCUAGCGUUGUUCGGAAUUACUGGGCGUAAAGCGCGUGUAGGCGGUCCGGUAAGUCCGCUGUGAAAGUCGGGGGCUCAACCCUCGGAUGCCGGUGGAUACUGUCGGGCUUGAGUACGGAAGAGGCGAGUGGAAUUCCUGGUGUAGCGGUGAAAUGCGCAGAUAUCAGGAGGAACACCAAUUGCGAAGGCAGCUCGCUGGGACGUUACUGACGCUGAGACGCGAAAGCGUGGGGAGCAAACAGG
rnacentral:rRNA from 1 species